UACGAAGGGGGCUAGCGUUGCUCGGAAUCACUGGGCGUAAAGCGCACGUAGGCGGAUUGUUAAGUCAGGGGUGAAAUCCUGGAGCUCAACUCCAGAACUGCCUUUGAUACUGGCGAUCUUGAGUCCGGGAGAGGUGAGUGGAACUGCGAGUGUAGAGGUGAAAUUCGUAGAUAUCAAGCGGAACACCGGUGGCGAAGGCGGCCUUCUGGACAGUGACUGACGCUGAGACGCGAAAGCGUGGGGAGCAAACAGG
rnacentral:rRNA from 1 species